GAAAGAAUGUUCAAGAUGGUGUGUGACAGUCAUUUUGUAUUUUGAUUUUUUACCUUUACUUUUUUCUAUAAAUUUCUUUAUUUUACCAAGUGUCCCGGUAGACUGUUGUCAUAAAAUCAGUAUCAUGGUGUUAAAGGUAAAGGUCAUCAUAAAGGUCAUCAUAGAGGUCAUCAUAGAGGUCAUCAUAGAGGUCAUCAUAGAGGUCAUCAUAAAGGUCAUCAUAGAGGUCAUCAUAAAUAUCUUCUUUGAGGAUUCUCCAUAACAAACUUGAGAAGCAACAUUAUAUUGGCAUUUUGCAUGUUAAUGGGUUAAAAGUAAUGUAAUUGUGCAGAUAUAUUUGUCCUGGUUCCGUGGCUAUCCUAAUGUCCAGGCUUUCACACCCAUUUUAACGUAUGAAAGAUUCGUACAUGGUAACUUCAUUUAUGAAAACAUAUAUUAGUAUGGAUGAAUUGAACAUUCUCGCACCUAUGAGUUGGUUUGAAUGGCAUAUUUUGAAAUGUACAACAUUUGAAACUUAAAUAGCAUAAUAUAUGCAUGAAUUUUAUAUGAGAGUUUUGAGGAUGAGUAUUUUAACAGUUAAAAUGCCCAAUGAUAUACAAUUAUAGUCUUUUGAUCAGGUGGAUGCAUGGUUUUAUUAACCUAAAAAAAUAAAAUAACCAAUCAGAAAGUGUGAAAAAUAUGAUUUUAUAAUAAUACUAACAUGUUUGAUAUCUACACAAAUCCAAAUUCGCUCAUUUUCCAAAAGAAAUACUGGUGAUGAGCCAGGGCUUUUUCUGAGAGAUUUUGGGGGCUGUUAAUUGGGUCCAUUCCCAAUUGAAAUUAUUUCAGAUUUAAGCCGAAUUCCCAAAAUUUUCAGCUUACUCCUGUAAAAAUCAAUUUUCUUCCCAAAAUGAGACAAAAAGGCCCCAUUCCAAACCAGUGAGAAAGAGCCCUGCUGAACAAAGAAUUGAUGUUUUAAAAUUGAUGGUAAAUGAUAUUUUUAGUUACUUUGAAUUUUUGGUGUGUAUUAUACUUUCAAACCUUUCAACCUGAAAGAAGUAUUGGCGCCAUAAUAAAAAUGUGACAUCGCAUGAUUGUCUAGGUGAUUUCGAUUGUCUUAUAUAAAAAAAAGAACAUGACAGUUUUUACUUAGUAUAAAUAGUAUUUAUGUGAUAAAUAUAAUCUUACACUCGUGGUUAUGUCAUGAAUUAAAUUCGUUCAAUAAUUUGAUAUGCCACACGCUUAAAUGCUUAUGUCAUAUCAACUUAUUGGACUCGUUUAAUGAAUUCCAUAUGACAUAUAACCACAAGUGUAAUAUCCUCCAUGUUCAUUCAAUUAUAAUACAUAUGUAAUUAUGCAAAAUAAAAACACUUUCCAUGCAUUUGUGUAUUUCACGAGGCACAUAUUACAUGAAAAACAAAAUAGGAUGCUUCCUCAAUUAAAACAAUUGCUUAAAUCAAUUAUCGUUAAACGUACAGUUAGUGAAUGACAGACGAAAUUUUGACACCCAAAUGUGUCAUCAUGCCUUACAAACAAUGAUACCAUUUUAUUUUGAUUAUUUUCUGUCGACGCGGUCAAUGAUUUACAUAAUGCAUAAGCAAAAUCGAUAUACAGCCUUUUUUCUGACCUUUUUAGUACUGCUCUCACCAAUGGAACGCCGACGAUAGUGAACAUAUCCGAUGGUCAUUAAUAUAUUAAUUGUAUUAAUUCAUCAAAAACGUCACCCACGAGUUCAAUUUUAAUGGGAUAACAUGAAAACAGUAUACCUAUAACAACAGGCAGUCCUUUCAAAGUUAAAGCAAUUUAGUAUAAACUUUUAUCGAUACACAAUUUAAAGAAGGUACAAAUCUAAUGAUUUGAGUAAUAUGACAUAUAUUAUUCAUCGCUGCACAGCGUCUGUAAUGAUGCAUACUAUCCAAUUUGGAAGAGAGAAAUGUAAAAACAAGGAUUCAUAAAACAACAAAGAUUUAAGUUUAAAAUUUAAG